rnacentral:lncRNA from 1 species
GGUCCUAUAUAUAUUAUUUUGUAAGAUAACCCCAAAGAAUCUCGGGGAUAUAACUUCUACCAUGCUAAAGAACAAGAGUUGUUCAGUAUUCUUUCAGAAAAGGAGUACCUUGGUGAAGGUACUGAUGCCUUUAAUGUAAAACUUAUGAAGUUCGACAGAUAAAAGAACCGACAUAAUCUGGUGAACCCAUAGAAUCAGAUUUGAUUAGAUCAAACGUAGAAUCUAUUGUGGAGGCACUAUUAAGAAGAUUCG